rnacentral:rRNA from 1 species
ACGGAGGGUGCAAGCGUUGUCCGGAAUCACUGGGCGUAAAGGGCGCGUAGGCGGCUUUCUAAGUCAGAUGUGAAAGCCCUGCGCUCAACCUAGGAAUUGCAUUUGAUACUGCAUGGCUUGAGUACGGAAGAGGUAAGUGGAAUUCCUAGUGUAGAGGUGAAAUGCGUAGAGAUUGGGAGGAACACCGGUGGCGAAGGCGACUUACUGGGCCGAAACUGACGCUGAGGCGCGAAAGCGUGGGGAGCGAACAG